GAAAAGUCCAUGACGAAAGCAGGAAUGCGACCACAAGCAAGCUGAGAGAAACCAAUAACCAAUGGCCUGCCCCUACCUAUUUGUACAGAGAUUUCCCUACAGAGUUGAUGGAGCUUUGGAAGAUCUUCAAUCUGCUGAA